UAAGAUAUGUCAGUUCCCUUGUAUGACCGAGGUUAACUUGCACUUGUUCUUGCACCAAUUCGUCGACGGGCCAAGCAACCCAAAUCGCAAUGAGGAAACCUUACUCCAAGCAAGUUUUCCUUUUGGGUUUGGGACGACGAUAGUCCAUGACUGGACUCUUACCGAGACAACAAAUUCCAGAGACACGGUUGUUGCACGUGUACAAGGUGUGCAUGUCCAGGCUGGUUUAACCAAGCCUAACAGAUGGUACACGACUCAUAACAUAGAGUUUCAGCAAGGAAGGUAAUAUGUUUCGCUACUUUUCAAUAUCUAAGUAUAUUUCAUGAGUUCUUUGCAUGCAACAUUAAAUUUAUGUCCUUACCUGUACUAUAUUUGUAGCCAAGGGUUUCACACACCUUACUAGUGUAUAGACACAUAUUAAUAAGUGUGCAUUUGUCAAACUCUACAUGCACUUCUGACCCUAUGACGGAACUUUCUAUUUUGAACAUGAAACAGGUUUGCGGGGUCCACCCUUCAAGUGAUGGGUAUAACCGCAGGUUUGGAAAGUGGGCAGUGGUCUAUUGUCGGUGGAACUGGUCAAUUCAUUAUGGCACAGGGUAUAAUAAGUUUCACAAAUCAUCCGGCCUCUACUUUUGAAGAUGGUAUUAAAGAACUCAAUAUUCGUGUACGCUUCACAAGGGAUAUUACACAAGCCGUAAGUAUAAUAUUAUGAGUUUAUAUUCAAAUUCUUGUGCUCUAUUUGUUGAAGAGAAAUGGAUUAUCAUACAUAUUAUCCUACUGAAACUGCAUUACAUUAAGACAUUUGUGGACAUUCAAGUGCAAAUGCAUUAAAGGAGGUUCUGUUUUAACAACAUUAGCCAUAUUUAACUAAAUCAAAUGCUUGUUGAAUGUUUUGUGCAUUUAGUAGGGUGUUGCAUAUCAAGUAAUGAAGCUUUAUGUACGAAUGCUUGACAUGACACUAGCCAUUGUUUCACUUUUCGCUGCAGGCUUGAGGUGCAUCUCGUCCCUUGAAAGACUAGCGCCAAUGUCAGUAAUUUGAUGGGGAAAUGUGUUUGCAUUUUGCUUGUAGUGUGAUGGGUCGUUGUUAUGGUCUGCAUGUGUCAUUAGAGUAUGCGUUAGCUAGCAUACCCUCUUUCUAUCUUUCAUUCAAAAUAUCAUGUGGGUUUCUCGCACGGUGGAUAUCCAGUCCAUAAUCUGUGUCAACCCAUCUGUUUGUUGGUGUCUAUGUAAUGUCUUGGAUAUGAUGUGGAAUAAUGGAGCUUGUUUGUUUGAGAAAGUGUUAUACCCACAUAAUUAUAUUAUUUGUGUUAAUCAUGAGACAAGCAUAUAUGAAAACUUAAAGCAAAACAAAUUAAUGAACACAAGAGCACCGUUAUUCAUACACUUAACAGUGUCUAUCCCGAAAGCAGUUUACCUCAAGGACCAUAAGAGCCCCAUUAUUUUCCACAACGUCUAGAAUAAUUGCAAACAAAGAUAUCACCCAGGCGGCCAUGACAUAAUGCAAUUAUAUAAAAAUGAUAGCCAUGUUAUUUGGUAGCAUCGAGAGAUGCAUAUACAUGUCUUGUACUCUUUUAAUAAAUACAUAAAAGAUUUGUGCAUUGAUGUAUUGCAAGGGAAAAAAUUGAUGCAUGGUAUAGAAUUGAGGCUCUUAACCACAAGGACCUAGGCUCGACCUUGACUCGAACAACGCAGGGCUACAACGGCUGUACUUCCUCCAUAAAAAAAUAUAAGAGUGUUUAGGGAGAGCGCCAUUACUAAGAUGGGCGGCAUCUGAACAUGUUAUAUUGGUCGUACGUCCAGCUCCAGGGAUUUGCGCUAGUGGGUCCAUGGCAGGAAAUACGGGUGGAAAAAAUUGACGUCGACUGGCGGUAUACGGGGAUGAACAGUGAUGUAUGCCAGCGCCCGUGCUCGUCUUUUUGAAAUGCACGUUACGCUGACGAGCCGAGCCGUCGAUCGGGUCAGUCACGAGAACCUGACCCAAGGAUUAGAAACGUAAUCGCACCGUCUGCUGCUUAGACACGCGCCGUCUACUGCAGGGCUAACCAGCGGCCCGACACGUGUCCUGACAGACCCCCACCACUCAAACAACCACAAUUCCUUUUUCCGAAUUUACAGAAUAUCUUUUUGCCUUGCCUUAUCCAGCGGACUGCUGCUGUUCCACACUCCAUAGCCUCUCCUUGUACAGCUUCGUGAAAGAUGAUUCCGAUGAGGUGAGGUCCGCCGCUCGGCGCUGUAGCUGGCGGCCAGACGGGAGCUAUUGCGGCUAGCGCUGCCCGCCUCCGGCCUGCUGCGCCGCGUGGGGCAGUGGCCUUGACUGAAGGCAAGAUGGGGUCCGUGCAAGCUAGCUCCGCUUGCUUCAGACGCGCUGCACCGCACGGGGCUGUAUCCUUGGCCGGUGUGAAGUCGGGGGGCGUCGCGGGUAGCACCGCCCACGUCCAGUGCGUCCAAGGCUGCGGUCGACCAGCUCCCUCGUAGAAGGUGGAACCACAGCACAUGCACCCAGUCGGCGGGCGCGGCCGUGGCCAGUGGCGAGAUGCCGCGGGAGGUCGUUCGGUUACACUUGAAGAAGCGUGAGCUCGAUGCAUCUCAACAGGCAAAGGUGAUUCUAGUUGCUUGCUUCUAUCCAACAUUUUGGCUACCAAAUCCCAAGAAAAUACCGAGGGUGGGCGAGAAACGUGAAUACUGCGGUUACCAUAAAAUUCCAAGCAAAAUCCGCUCGAAUUUUUCAAAAGUAAUUUGAAUUCAAAUUUUUCUGAGCUAGGAAUAUAUAAGUAUUGAGCUCAAGUGGUUCACAAACAAGGUGUUCGCGCAGUGGCAUGUUCUCGUCGUAUGUCCUCAGCGUAUGCAAGGUCGUGGGUUCGAUUCUCUAACCUUGAGUUUUAGAAUAUUUAUUUUAGAAUUGGUUAAACAAAAAAGAAAACAGUGUCUAUCCCUAAAGCAGUUUACCUCAAGGGCCAUGCCCUAUUAUUUUCCACAACGUCUAGAAUAAUUGCCAACAAAGAUAUCACCCAGGCGGCUAUGACAUAAUGCAAUCAUAUAAAAAUGAUAGCCAUGUUAUUUGGUAGCAUCGACAGAUGCAUAUACAUGUCUUGUAUUCUUUUUACAAAUACACAAAAGAUUUGUGCAUUGAUGUAUUGCAAGCGGAAAAACUGAUGCAUGUUAUAGAACUAGCGAAGUGUCCCGCGCAUUUGCGCGGCUAGAUUGUCAUUUUAUGUUAUUAUAUUUUUUGAUUUGUUAUCCUUCGUACAUUUAAGAUAUAUGGCCCUACAUGAUUUGACAUUAGUAAAAACAUUAAGCAUGUUAAUUAUUUUGAGGGUGACAACGAAUGAUAGAGAGGCACUUGUCCCACCACAUAAGGUUGUAGAGUUCUAGUAUGAAAAAUAAUAAUUAGCUUUCUAUAUUACAUUCUUAUCAUCCUCUAUGAUUUAUCUUUUUGUGAAUAUCUCUAACCUUGAGUUUUAGAAUAUUUAUUUUAGAAUUGGUUAAACAAAAAAGAAAACAGUGUCUAUCCCUAAAGCAGUUUACCUCAAGGGCCAUGCCCUAUUAUUUUCCACAACGUCUAGAAUAAUUGCCAACAAAGAUAUCACCCAGGCGGCUAUGACAUAAUGCAAUCAUAUAAAAAUGAUAGCCAUGUUAUUUGGUAGCAUCGACAGAUGCAUAUACAUGUCUUGUAUUCUUUUUACAAAUACACAAAAGAUUUGUGCAUUGAUGUAUUGCAAGCGGAAAAACUGAUGCAUGUUAUAGAACUAGCGAAGUGUCCCGCGCAUUUGCGCGGCUAGAUUGUCAUUUUAUGUUAUUAUAUUUUUUGAUUUGUUAUCCUUAGUACAUUUAAGAUAUAUGGCCCUACAUGAUUUGACAUUAGUAAAAACAUUAAGCAUGUUAAUUAUUUUGAGGGUGACAACGAAUGAUAGAGAGACACUUGUCCCACCACAUAAGGUUGUAGAGUCCUAGUAUGAAAAAUAAUAAUUAGCUUUCUAUAUUACAUUCUUAUCAUCCUCUAUGAUUUAUCUUUUUGUGAAUAACUCUUUUGGACAGUUUCACCUAAAAAUAAUAAAAUACUAAUGGCUUGUACUUAAUUCCUCUUUUAGCUUAGUCGUUGUAAAUUUGUUGUGUACAAUUUUCUCGUGUGCUUGGUGCAUUCGAGUUGUUUGUGGCAUUCUUCUUAACUGCUUGCAUACAUGGAUAAAAGAUAUGUAUGUUCUUCGGCAGUGAACUACUUGACUCACAGAGUCCAUGCCCGCUUCUCCUUCAAAUUAAAUCAUGACAAAUCUAUAAUGUUUCAUUAAGUGUAAAUUCUAAGGACUUUAUGCCACAUCGACUAAUAGUGUGGUCAGUCCAUAUUGAGAAUGGUUAUAUCCCAAUUAGUCUAAAUAUAUUUCUACCACAUGGAACCAAAUUGCCAAUUUAUUUUUUAUUCGUAUUGUCAUGUAUAAAAUAGCAUCAUAUUCAUUACUCACCUAAUCAGAUUGUUUCAUAUAAAAUACAUCACAAAUUUAGCGAUAUUUCAUUGUUACCAUGUGGAAAAUCAAGUUGUUGAUUUAUUUUCUUAUAGUGAAUUCCCUAUACAAAUAUCUCCAUUCGUGCUCAUUUUAUAGGGAAUGGUAUUACUAUGGUUUUUUUAAAUAGACAACGUCAUAAUCUGGAUACACGGUGAUCAACAAAUACGCGCAAUUUUGCUUAUAUAAAUGAAUACUCCUAAAAUAUAAAUGCAUAAUGGUUUUUGAUAGAUAUUUCAUGUUUAUAUUUUAUAUGAAUUAGAUACUAAUUCGUUCCGUUCCUAUCUUUUUCAUGGAAACUUUCCGGCCGAAUGUUGUAGAAAGGCGAUCGUAUACUUCUCAUCGUACAUGUAUGUGUGUCUUGAUGAAUUUUUUUUUGCGGUUAGUGUCUUGAUAAAUCCUUAUUGUGUACAGUAUGGUGAAUCUGAACAUGCACCUAUUUUUUUCUUUUUCCGUAGUCUUCUUAGAGCCUUUAUUUCAUUUUCUAUUUUUCUUGAAUGUUAGUCCGGACGUGAUUAGCUCUUUUUCCUCUACUAUUUUUGUUUUCACGGCCGUGUGCCUUGAUGAAUUAGUUUUUACCCAUAUGCAUGGAUUUCAUGAUAAAUCAUAAUUAUGUGAGUUGCGGUGGACAUGGACACGCCUCUAAUUUUCCUCUUUUUUUCCAACAGUAGUCCGGUCAUCUUAAUAGUAGUCCACAUUUUAUGUCCUUUGCUGAAAUUCACACAUGUAUCGGUUGGACACGUCUUCCUUUUUUGCAUCGAACUCUUCCUUAUAUAGUUCUUUGAGUUCCGUGGACUGCACGGAGACCAGGACCUGUAUGCUAAUAGGAAUCCUAAUCGCAUAUGGCCGGCCUUUUUCUUUUUUUAAUGCAAAUGCCUCGUAUAUACUACAUUACAAAGGCAUUACUAAGUCACGUGAUCUUUCUUUAUUUUUGUCUCACCUUUUUCACACAUGUUAUACGUGUCAGUUCAAUAAAUGUAAUCCAAUAACUUUUUUUCAUGUAACGUAAUAUCUUUAAAUCUCAACCGUAAGUAUUACUGACGGACGGUGUAUAUUGUGGAAGAACGUGGUGUCUUAUUUGACUUCUGUUUUAAGUAUAUAAUAGAUAGAUUGAGGCUCUUAACCACAAGGACCUAGCCUCGACCUUGACUCGAACAAGGAAGGGCUACAACGGUUGUACUUCCUCCAUAAAGAAAUAUAAGAGUGUUUAGGGAAAGCGGCGUUACUGAGAUGGGCGGCAUCUAUGGGCGGCAUCUGAACUUGUUAUCUUGGUCGUACGUCCAGCUCCAGGGAUUUGCGCUAGUGGGUCCAUGGCAGGAAAUACGGGUGGAAGAAAUUGACGUCGACUGGCGCCUGGGCUCGUCUUUUUGAAAUGCACGUUACGCUGACGAGCCGAGCCGUUGAUCGGGUCCGUCACCAGAACAUGACCCAAGGAUCAGAAACGUAAUCACGCUGUCUGCUGCUUAGACACGCGUCGUCUGUUGCAUGGCCAAUCAGCGGCGAACACGUGUCCUGACAGACCCCCACCACUCAAACAACCACAAUUUCUUUUUCCUAAUUUACAGAAUAUAUUUUUGCCUUGCCUUAUCCAGCGGACUGCUGCUGUUCCACACUCCAUAGCCUCUCCUUGUACAGCUCCGUGAAAGAUGAUUCCGACGAGGUGAGGUCCACCGCUCGACGCCGUAGCUGGCGGCCAGACGGGAGCUUUCGCGGCUAGCGCCGCCCGCCUCCGGCCUGCUGCGCCGCGUGGGGCAGUGGCCUUGACUGAAGGCAAGAUGGGGUCCGUGCAAGCUAGCUCCGCUCUCUUUAGCCGCGCUACGCCGCACGGGGCCCUAUCCUUCGCCGGUGGGAAGACGGGGGCCAUCGCGGCUAGCACCGUCCGCGUCCGGCGCAUCCAAGGCUAUGGCCAACCCGCUCCCUCGUAGAAGGUGGAACCACAACGCGUGGACCCAGUCGGCGGGCGCGGCCGUGGCCGGUGGCGAGAUGCCGCGGGAGGUCGUUGGGUCACACUUGAAGAAGCGUGAGCUCGAUGCAUCUCAGCAGGAAAAGGUGAUUCUAGUUGCUUGCUUCUAUCCAACGUUUUGGCUACCAAAUCCCAAGAAAAUACCGAGGGUGGGCGAGAAACGCGGAUACCAUAAAAUUCCGAGCAAAAACUGCUCGAAUUUUUCAAACGUAAUUUGAAUUCAAAUUUUUCUGAGCUAAGAAUAUAUAAGUAUUGAGCUCAAGUGGUUCACAACCAAGGUGUUUGCGCAGUGGCAUGUUCUCGUCGUCCGUCCUCAAACGUAUGCAAGGUCGUGGAUUCAAUUCUCUAACCUUGAGUUUUUAAAUUUUUAUUUAAGAAUUGGUUAAACAAAAAAGAAAACAGUGUCUUUUUGAAAUGCACGUUAUGUUGACGAGCCUAGUCGUCGAUCGGGUCCAUCAUGAGAACCUGACCCAAGGAUCAGACACGUAAUCGCGUCGUCUGCUUCUUAGACACGCGCCGUCAGCUGCAGGGCCAACCAGCGGCCUACACGUGUCCUGACAGACCCCCACCACUCAAACAACCACAAUUCCUUUUUUCUAAUUAACAGAAUAUCUUUUUGCCUUGCCUUAUCCAGCGGACUGCUGCUGUUCCACACUCCAUAGCCUCUACUUGUACAACUCCGUGAAAGAUGAUUCCGGCGAGGUGAGGUCCGCCGCUCAGCGCCGUAGCUGGCGGCCAGACGGGGGCUAUCGCGGCUAGCGCCGCCCGCGUCCGGCCUGCUGCGCCGCGUGGGGCAGUGGCCUUGACUGAAGGCAAGAUGGGGUCCGUGCAAGCUAGCUCCGCUCGCUUCAGCCGCGAUGCGCCGCACGGGGUUGUAUCCUUGGCCGGUGGGAAGACGGGGGCCGUUGCGGCUAGCACCGCCCGUGUCCGGCCCGUCCAAGGCUGUGGCCGACCCUCUCCCUCGUAAAAGGUGGAACCACAGCGAGAUGCCGCGGGAGGUCGUUGGGUCACACUUGAAGAAGCGUGAUCUCGAUGCAUCUCAACAGGCAAAGGUUAUUCUAGUUGCUUGCUUCUAUCCAACGUUUAGGCUACCGAAUCCCAAGAAAAUACCGAGGGUGAGCGAGAAACGCGGAUACCGCGGUUACCAUAAACUUCUGAUCAAAAACCGCUUGAUUUUUUCAGACGUAAUUUGAAUUCAAAUUUUUCUGUGCUAGGAAUAUAUAAGUAUUGAGCUCAAGUGUCCGGCCCGUCCAAGGCUAUGGCCGAGCCGCUCCUCGUAAAAGGUGGAACCAUAGCGAGAUGCCGCGGGAGGUCGUUGGGUCACACUUGAAGAAGCGUGAGCUUGAUGCAUCUCAACAGGCAAAGGUUAUUCUAGUUGCUUGCUUCUAUCCAACGUUUUGGCUACCGAAUCCCAAGAAAAUACCGAGGGGGGGGGGGCGAGAAACGCUGAUACCGCGGUUACCAUAAACUUCUGAGUAAAUACCGCUCGAUUUUUUCAAACGUAAUUUGAAUUCAAAUUUUUCUGUGCUAGGAAUAUAUAAGUAUUGAGCUCAAGUGGUUCACUAACAAGGUAUUGGCGAAGUGGCAUGUUCUGGUCGUCCGUCCUCUACGUAAUGGGUAACAAGUAAUGAAAGUAAAUAAGAUGCAGCAAUAUAGCCCAAUCCUUUUUAUAGCAAAGGACAAGUCUGGACAAACUCUUAUAUAAAGGAAAACACUCCCGAGGACACAUGGGAAUUAUCGUCAAGCUAGUUUUCAUCACGUUCAUAUGAUUUGCGUUCGUUACUUUGAUAAUUUAGUAUGUGGGUGGACCGGUGCUUGGGUACUGCCCUUUCUUGGACAAGCAUCCCACUUAUGAUUAACCCCUAUUGCAAGCAUCCGCGACUACAAAAGAAGUAUUAAUGUAAACCUAACCAUAGCAUGAAACACAUGGAUCCAAAUCAGCCCUUAUGAAGCAACUCAUAAACUAGGGUUUAAGCUUCUGUCACUCUAGCAACCCAUCAUCUACUUAUUAUUUCCCAAUGCCUUCCUCUAGGCCCAAACAAUGGUGAAGUGUCAUGUAGUCGAUGUUCACAUAACACCACUAGAGGAGAGACAACAUACAUCUCAUCAAAAUAUCGAACGAAUACCAAAUUCACAUGACUAAUUAUAGCAAGACUUCUCCCAUGUCCUCAGGAACAAACGUAACUACUCACAAAUCAUAUUCAUGUUCAUAAUCAGAGGAGUAUUAAUAUGCAUAAAGGAUCUGAACAUAUGAUCUUCCACCAAAUAAACCAACUAGCAUCAACUACAAGGAGUUAUCAACACUACUAGCAACCCACAGGUACCAAUCUAAGGUUUUGAGACAAAGAUUGGAUACAAGAGAUGAAGUAGGGUUUGAGAGGAGAUGGUGCUGGUGAAAAUGUUGAUGGAGAUUGACCCCCUCCCACUGUCCGUUCAUGCCUCCGGCGACGCCAACCGUCGCUAGAUCAAACCACUGCUGCCAUUGACAACACGCACGGGAUCGAGAUUUUGUUUUUGUUUUUGAAAGUAGCGCGUGGUAUAAGACACGCUACAGAUAAUUAGCAGUAGUGCUGUCUGCAACGCAUGCUACAUCUAACCAUGUAUAGCAGUAGCGUGUGUCAAAACGCGCUACUGCUACAAGUUAGCUGUGGCGUGCCCGCUCUACUGAUACACCCAAAACCCGCCCUGCUGCUAGGCUUUUCCCUAGUAGUGGGACUUACCCACUAACUAUUAGCAACGGGGUAGAUUAUACCUGCCUCCAGAAGCUUUAGUAUUUCUUUUCUUACCACUUCUUUCAUCUUAGGAUUUAACCUGCGUUGGUGAUCAACAACCGGUUUAGCGUCUUUCUCCAAUUUUAUUUUGUGUUGGCAUAAAGUGGGACUAAUGCCCUUAAGAUCAUCAAGAGUAUAUCCAAUAGCAGCACGGUGCUUCUUCAGAGUUUUCAUUAAUUUCUCUUCUUCUUGCUCUGAAAGAUUAGCACUAAUAAUAACAGGAUAUAUCUUCUUUUCAUCAAGAUAAGCAUAUUUAAGAGUAUCAGGUAAUGGUUUAAGCUCAAACACGGGAUCACCCUUGGGUGGAGGAGGAUCCCCUAGGAUUUCAAUAGGCAAGUUGUGUUUCAAAAUAGGUCCCUAUUUAAAGAAUACUUCAUCUAUUUUCCUUCUUUCAUUCAUAAACAUAUCAUUUUCAUGGUCUAGCAAAUAUUGUUCUAAAGGGUCAUUAGGAGGCACAACAAUAGAGGCAAGACCAAUAAUUUCAUCUUUACUAGGUAGUUCUUUAUCAUGGGGUUGUCUAUGGAAUUUAGCAAAAUUAAACUCAUGAGACAUAUCCCCCAAUCCAAUAGUAAAAAUAUCCUUUUUGCACUCUAUCCUAGCAUUAACAGUAUUCAAGAAGGGUCUACCAAAUAUAAUGGGACAAAAGUUAUCUUGUGGGGAACCAAGAACAAGAAAAUCAGCAGGAUAUUUGACUUUCCCACACAAGACUUCAACAUCCCUAACAAUCCCAACUGGUGAAAUAGUAUCUCUAUUGGCAAGCUUAAUUGUAACAUCAAUUUCUUCUAUCUCAGCAGGUGCAAUAUCAUGCAUAAUUUAUUUGUAUAAGGAAUGGGGUAUUGCACUUGAACUAGCACCCAUAUCACAUAAGCCAUGAUAGCAAUGAUCUCCUAUUUUAACAGAAAUAACAGGCAUGCUUACAACAGGUCUAUGUUUAUUUAGUAUUAGGUCUAGCAAUUCUAGCAGCUUCAUCACAGAAGUAAAUAACACGCCCAUCAAUAUUAUCGGCCAAGAGAUCUUUAACCACAACAAUACUAGAUUCAACUUUAAUUUGCUCAGGGGGUGUAGGUGUUCUAGUAUUACUCUUACGAACCAUAGUUGAAGCUUUAGCAUGAUCCUUUAUUCUAACAGGAAAGGUGGUUUCUCAAUAUAAGCAGUAGGAACAACAGGAUCAACAUUAUAAGUGAUAGUCUUUUCUUCAACUUUAAUAGGUGAAACUACUUUUACUUCAAUGGGAGGAUUAUAUUUAAACCACUUCUCCUUAGGGAGAUCAACAUGAGUAGCAAAGGAUUCACAGAAAGAAGCUACUAUCUCAGAGUCAAGUCCAUAUUUAGUGCUAAAUUCAUGGAAAACAUCGGUAUCCAUAAAAUAUUUAACACAAUCAAACUUAGGUGUUAUACCUGGCUCGUUACCUUCGUCGAGAUCCCAAUCUUCAAAGUUGUGUUUAGUUCUUUCUAAUAAAUCCCAUUUGAGUUCAAUAGUUUUCAUCAUAAAAGAGCCAGUACAAAAGUAUCGAGCAUGGAGCGAUUAUUGAGAGAAAGCCGAGCAUAAAUUUUUUGAAUAAUAAUUUCUCUUGAGGGGUCAUGAUUGGGGCAUGAAUAUAACAUUGACUUAAGCCUCCCCAAGCUUGAGCGAUGCUUUCUCCUUCGCGAGGCCAAAAAUUAUAUAUAUAUAUUUGCGAUCAUGAUGAACAAGAUGCAUAGGAUAAAACUUCUGAUGAAAUUCCAAUUUCAAUCGGUUGUAGUUCCAUGAUCCCAUAUCAUUACAUAGCCUAAACCAUGUCAAUUCCUUUCCCUUCAAAGAUAAAGGGAAGACCUUCUUCUUGAUAACAUCCCGGGGCAUACCUGCAAGCUUAAAUAACCCACAAACUCUAUCCACAUAGAUUAGGUGUAAAUCGGGAUGCAAUGUUCCAUCUCCUGUAAAAGGAUUAGCUAGCAGUUUCUCUAUCAUACCCAAAGGAAUUUCAGAGUAAACAUUUUUAGUAGGUUCAGUAGGUUGAGGAGAAACUCUUUGCUCUACUGGUCGGGGUGAAUAUACCCCGAACAAGCCCCUCAAAGGAUUACUUUCCAUAGCAACAAGUGACAGUAAAUUUUAGCACACUAUAUAAAUUUUUCCUUACCAAAUUCCACCUACCAAAGGCGCUUCACUCCCCGGCAACGGCGCCAGAAAAGAGUCUUGAUGACCCACAAGUGUAGCGGAUCUAUCGUAGUCCUUUCGAUAAGUAAGAGUGUCGAACCCAACGAGGAGCAGAAGGAAAUGACAAGCGGAUUUCAGUAAGGUAUUCUCUGCAAGCACUGAAAUUAUCGGUAACAGAUAGUUUUGUGAUAAGGCAAUUAGUAACAGGUAAAAAGCAAUUAAUGAAAGUAAAUAAGGUGCAGCAAGAUGGCCCAAUCCUUUUUAUAGCAAAGGACAAGCCUGGACAAACUCUUAUAUGAAGGAAAACGCUCCGGAGGACACAUGGGAUUUAUCGUCAAGCUAGUUUUCAUCACGUUCAUAUGAUUCGCGUUCGUUACUUUGAUAAUUUGGUAUGUGGGUGGACCGGUGCUUGGGUACUGCCCUUUCUUGGACAAGCAUCCCACUUAUGAUUAACACCUAUUGCAAGCAUCCGCGACUACAAAAUAAGUAUUAAGGUAAACCUAACCAUAGCAUGAAACAUAUGGAUCCAAAUCAGCCCCUUACGAAGCAACUCAUAAACUAGGGUUUAAGCUUCUAUCACUCUAGCAACCCAUCAUCUACUUAUUACUUCCCAAUGCCUUCCUCUAGGCCCAAACAAUGGUGAAGUGUCAUGUAGUCGAUGUUCACAUAACACCACUAGAGGAGAGACAACAUACAUCUCAUCAAAAUAUCAAACGAAUACCAAGUUCACAUGACUACUUAUAGCAAGACUUCUCCCAUGUCCUCAGGAACAAACGUAACUACUCACAAAUCAUAUUCAUGUUCAUAAUCAGAGGAGUAUUAAUAUGCAUAAAGGAUCUGAACAUAUGAUCUUCCACCAAAUAAACCAAUUACUAUCAACUACAAGGAGUAAUCAACACUACUAGCAACCUACAGGUACCAAUCUAAGGUUUUGAGACAAAGAUUGGAUACAAGAGAUGAACUAGGGUUUGAGAGGAGAUGGUGCUGGUGAAGAUGUUGAUGUGACCCCCUCCUGCUGAGAGGAUCGAUGGUGAUGACGAUGGUGAUGAUUUCCCCCUCCCAGAGGGUUGUUUCCCCGGCAGAACAGCUCCGCCGCAGCCCUAGAUUGGUUCCGCCAAGGUUCCGCCUCGUGGCGGCGGUGUUUCGUCCCGAAAGCUUUCUUCUGAUUUUUUCCAGGGUGAAAGACUGCAUAUAGCAGAAGAUGGGCACCGGAGGCCUGCCAGGGGGCCCACGAGGCAGGGGGCGCGCCCAUGGGGUAGGGCACGCCCCCACCCUCGUGGAUGGUGGGUGGCCCCCUCUGGUUGAUCCUUUCGCCAGUAUUUUUUAUUAAUUCCAAAAACUGCCUCCGUGAAGUUUCACGACUUUUGGAGCUGUGCAUAAUAGGUCUCUAAUAUUUGCUCCUUUUCCAGCCUAGAAUUCCAGUUGCCGGCAUUCUCCCUCUUCAUGUAAACCUUGUAAAAUCAGAGAGAAUAAGCAUAAGUAUUGUGACAUAAUGUGUAAUAACUGCCCAUAAUGCAAUAAAUAUCGAUAUAAAAGCAUGAUGUAAAAUGGACGUAUCAGUGCUCUGUCGCCACUCUGUCCACGUCUUCAAUGCGGCCCUUCUUGCUUCACCCUAGCGUUUCAUUAAUCUGGCGAGUGUUCCUCCUGCCAUUCGCUCUUUGUGAGGAUGCGUAUGUCACCUUUCUCUAUUGGUUGUUGUCAUGUCCCGCAAGUGUGUUUCUCUGCUUGCCAACUACAUGAGGCAAGCGAAGACACAACAGAGUUGCAGAUUAGGUACUUGGGUCACCGACCAACAAAAUCAACUCACCGGAGCUCCUGAUUCAUCUUUGCCACUUAUCAUUCAAUUUUUGAAUGCGGAUUCUGCUAUUCUAUUUCAUAUAGGCUACAUCUACAUGGAUGCAUCAACUCUGCUCCAUAAAUAUGGAUACAAAGUGUUUGGUGUAAUUUUCUUUGAUAAUUUUGUGUUGCCAUUUCUCCCAUUCAGCAUAUUUUAGAAUUUAUAAUGGCCAAUACCUAUCCAUCAAAGUACAAGUUCAUUCUCAAGUGUUGCAAUUUGUAUGCUCAAACAAAAUGACGUCUGCGUGGAUGUCCGGAUCAAGCACCACGCCUAAUCGUUCAUAAGUUCAGGUGAUAUGGCAACUAUCCCUUUGAAUUAUAUAAAGAUCAAUGUCGAUGCAAGUUUUGUGGAGAGCAUUAGUGCAGCGAGUGUGGGAGUGGCGGCAAGGGACUCUUCUAGGAGGGUCAUAGUCUCCUCCUAGGAUUUCAUUGGACUUUGUAAGAGCGUGGAGGAGGCAGAGCUCCGUGCUUGCAUUGCCGGUCUUUAUAUAGGUAUUACUCUACAAAAUCCUAUUAUCUUAGAGACUGACUAUGCGUUUGUGGUGGCGACCCUAGAAAAUGAAAAUUUUGACAGAUCAUCAUUGGUGGAUUUGAAGAAGGAAGCGAUGAGUACCUCCAAGCUUAAGAUUUCGGCCAGUCUUAAGAUCUCCAAGAUCAAUCGCUCGGACAAUGUGGUGGCCCAUAUGAUUGCUAAAUUUAGCUUUGAUAAUAGAUCAGAUGGUAUCUUAGUUAGUGGUGUUCCGUCCUGCGUGGUGAAUUUUGUAAUAAGUGAUUGUAAUAACUACGUUGGUUAAUUAAUAUAUGAGGUGGUUUUUUAAAAAAUGACGUCUGCAGGAAAUUUGGAUCUCGUAAUCUUAAAUGGUUUGGAUUCUAGUAGUAAGUUCUUUAUGUAGGACCCCCUACUGGAAUUAGCACUUUUUGUUGUAUAAAUUUAGCUCUAUAGGGGCACAUGAAUUGUACCAAUGAAGAACUUAGUACAGAGGAAAUUAGAAUUUACUAAAGUUUGAAGGAACUGCCUUGUUCUGAAAUUGUUGCUCUUGUUGGAUUGUUCUGUGUCAUACCUAAAUAAAAAUUCUAAUAUUAGCAUAUAAUUGGGUGGACCAUAUUCUUGAUUGGGGGUCGUAUCUAGAGGACGAGUAAUACUUCACUUAUACUUGUGGUCUGGUAUACUUGAGCCGGUGCAUCACAAGUGCUUCUUUGUUUUUAUCCUUUAUUAAUAUAUUUAUUGUUUGGAAGGAGGAGGUUGCAUAUUAUUCUACAUGACCCCUUUGUUGAAUACAAUCAACAUGCUACAUCGAUUGUUGUUUACUGCUAUACUUACACGCACUUUAUGCAUGCUUCUUAGAGCUACUAUGAUUUUCCGGUGCAAAUAUGCAUGCAUUCUGGUGUACUUAAUUAUGAUGUCUUAGAAUCCUCACUUUUAUAAUACUUAUUCUUGCUAAAGUUUACAGCCAUAGCUGGAUUAUCCUAAUCAUUUGUACUACACAAGUUACACCAAUAACCAUGUUUUUCUAUGCACAUAUCUCCUUAGGAUUACUAAUCUGAAUAAUGUAAGCUCAGUUAAGGUAGGCUAUAAAGUUGUUUUGUGUACUCAAAUAAAGAAUCAUUCGCAAAACAGUGGGUCAUUCACUUGUGAUGAUGAAUACUUUUUCCAUCAGAUUGUUGUCCAUAAAGAAUUAUGUAUUGGAACAUUAGCAACUCACUUUCUACACUUUCAGAAAGGAAGUUAAAUUUUGGUGUUCUUGUUUUGAAAAAUUUGGACCCCUCAUCAAAUACUAUUAAGCCAAAAGGGACAGCGAGGUUGGACAUUCGAACAUACAACUACAAUGGGAUGGAACAUGGCUAUGAAUAUAUCAAUUGCUUUUGGGAUAACAUAAUAAUCGAAGCACAACACAUUUAAAGUUACUUCCCAGCUUCCUUAAGCGUCAAACUGAUAUUUGCGCAACAAGUAGUAAGGCUAGGAUUGGGUAGUAGGAUUCGAACAACUGGAUAAGCUAGAUCUACCCUAUGCAAGGAUUUUAGCAAUCAUCACAUGCACAAUUUCAUCAGGGAGAGACCAUACAAACCUCUAUUUUGCAUGCAGUUUGUUGGUUGAGGUAAGCAUAACCCGAUGCAUACAUUUCAGAUUUAGGUCUAGGUUUAAUUAUUCUUCGGCCUACUUCAUGCUUUUCCUGUUUAGUAUUUGUAACAUGGUGCCAGAAGGGUGUGUGUACUCUGAAUUACUUGUUCUUUACGCAAAAGAAAAUGUAUUUAGAUUGUUUCUGGCCUUGAGAUUAUUUAUAUCUUCAACAUCCAAGUGACUGGCUUGCAGGCUGCUCUUUUUAGCAAUGAAGGAACCGUUUCUGUGGUGCAUGCUAAUAGUUAUUUAUUUCUGACAUAAGGAACGGAAAAUCAAUUCGGCUCCCGGGUGCAUUUGCACCCGGGGCCAUUUUUGAUUUUUUUCAAAUGUCGAAAAAAUUGAAACAAAUUUUUUUGUCAUCUUUGUCACAUAUAAAUGCGGCCCUCAAAACUUGAGACAAAAAUUCUAAUCAUUUUGGCUUGCGCAAAAAAAAUCAAAGACCAAAUGUCACCUCAAAAUGUCACCCAAAAUUUGUUUUUUUCACCGACGAAACACCGCUGCUCCGUUCCGCGUGAAUUUCGUCAAGCAUGUUUGCGACACCAACAUGAUCAUCUACAAUUUUUUCAGAUAUUUUUGAAAACAUUUAAUUUGUUUUUUCGGGGUACUGUUCAUCCGGGUGCAAAUGCACCCGGGAGCCAAAACGCCUCCCCCCAUAAGGAAUCCAUGUAAACUUUCUAACUCUUAUAUUGAAACUAAAGUUACCUUCUUCGCCUUAGUGUAGCACCAUGCAUAUGUCGCUGCUGGAAGAUAUGCUUCCGUGCUCAUCUUUUCUACAAUGUAGUGCAGACACACUACCUUCUCUAAAACUUUGAUAACUGUUCUUUGAAGAUUUAGCAUCAAUUGUUCUUUCACUGUCCCUGCAAUGCAAAAGAUGAUGUCAGGCAGAAAUGUUUUACCUACAAUCGAAGAUUUUUUUACCAUUAGUAGAUCUGUUUUGUACUCAUCUCUUCUACAAUGUGAAUUGAAUGUACAGGUUCUGGAAAAGUUAGCACUUUUUGUUUAACGAUUUACCAUAUGUUGUUCUUUCCAGGCUCCUAUAGUUUAAAUGGUGUUGCGAGGCGAUGAUGCAUGGCUGAAACUAAAGAUUUCCCCCAAAAUUGUUUGGGAUGACCUUUGCCAAUUCUUCUUUCAUAAUAGUUUAGUUCUUGCAUAUUGUUUUCUGUUAUACAUUAUCUAAUUUGAGAUGAUCACUAACUUCACUUAUUUGUGUUGCACCUACAAAAAUUUGCCCUAGAAAGAUUUGCAUGCUAUUUGAUUGCCUCUGAAAGUGCUUUGUCUCAAAGUUGUUUCUUAGCGACUCUGCUCUCUCGACUCGAGUCAUUCUACUUCAGUUUGAAAGUUGACUGGUAGAAUUGCAUUUUUAAUUUAAGUUUCCUGAAACGCAAAACUCCGAGGCUCGCCAAAAUGUAUUGUUUGGUCGAGAAAUAGGAACAUGAAGACUUUGUUGAUGAGUACUUUGUUUUUUAUCGGUUAUAAUGGAGCAAGUGCAGCAAAGCGCGCCUUUCCCUUCUAGUCGGUUACGAUUACUAUAUUUGCACGUAAAAUUGGAUCAGUGAUAGAACACCCAUGAUAUGACCAAGUAACAUGGAAGUAUAUUGUAUGUGCAAGUAGAUGGUUGUUCCCAUCACCAUCGCUAAUCGUUGAGGUGCAUCAUCCAUGUCAGAUGUUUCUAAUUGAAGAAAUCCCCUAUAUCACUAAGCUCCCUAAGGAAAAAUCGUCCAGGAGAGAUCCAAGCGAUUGAUUGCCUUGUGCGAUCAAUUUUGACCGGGUCGUCGUGUGUACAACCUGCAUCUGGUGAGGUGGCAGGUCUGUGGGCCUUUUUUGUUAGGGGCGGUUGGCAAGAGCAUGGGUUGUCGGUGGCUGGCAAAGGCGGUAUCUUCUGGUUAAAUGAGGUUUUCUAUGGUCAAAGCGUCAUGGCAGUUGCGAGGGGUUGCGAAGCACGUGGCAGUCAGAGGUAGUGUGGCCAUGCGGGCGUUGCAGUCAUCUAUAGGGGAUGGGAGGCUUUUGGGAGGCAUUUGGGUCACCCCCGUUGGGUGCGCCGCUGUUGGAUCUUGCUUGCGGGCAGCCGCCAGGGAGGUCGUCGCCGUGUUGACGCUCAAAAGUGGCAUGAUCAUAAAGAGUAGCUUGAAGGUAUGUAAAGAUUAAUUCAAACUUAUUAUUGAAAGUCAUCAUGGGAUGGCUCUCUUCGAGAAGAUCAAGAUUGAAAGUGCAACUAUCCCUAGGUGGUUUUGGUAAUUCAUAACAAUAUAUAGCUCACUGAGCUAAUGCUAUUCCAAGACUAUUAUUUCAGGAAAGCUCAAUGAAUGGCAUGGCAUGGAUGAUGAAAGUGGACCCCUCAAAAUAUCAAGGACAAAGGAUUGGCCCAAGCUCAAAAGCUCAAGACUCUUCCUUUUACAUUUUAGUGAUCCAAGAUCACAUUGAGUCUAUAGGAAAAGCCAAUACUAUCAAGGAGGAAUGAGGUGUUGCUUAAUGAGCCUCUUGCUUCAAGUGCUUAGUGAUAUGCUCCAAAUACCCUCAACUACUUUCUCACAUCCUCAUAUGACCUAAACCUAAAGCCAAAAUCGGUCACACCGAUUCUUUCUAUCCGGCGCCACCGAGUUCAGAUGUCAUAGCCACUGCCACAAACCCUAGGCAAAUCGGUGUCACCGAUAGGGAUCCCGGUCUCACCGAGAUGGGAUUGUAAUCUCUUUGUUUCCCUUCGUAACGUUUCGGUCUAACCGAAGUGAGCGAUUGGUCCCACCGAGAUUGCAAUGUAAACUCUCUGUUUCCCUUUUGUAACAUUUCGGUCUCACCGAAAAGAGCAAAUCGGUCUCACCGAGUUUACCUGACCAACUCUCUUGUUAGCUAAUUACCAAAAUCGGUCUCACCGAGUUUGUGUAAUCGGUCUCACCGAGAUUAUGUUAUGCCAUAACCCUAACCAUAUCGGUCCUACCAAGUUGCAUGUCGGUCCCACCGAAAAUCCUAACGGUCACUAGGUUUACUAAAUCGGUCUGACCGAGUUUGUUGAUUCGGUCCCACCGAGAUUGGUAAAUUGUGUGUAACGGUUAGAUUUUUUGUGGAGGCUAUAUAUACCCCUCCACCUCCUCUUCAUUCAUGGAGAGAGCCAUCAGAACAAACCUACACUUCCAACUUACCAGUUCUGAGUGAGAACUACCUACUCAUGUGUUGAGGCCAAGAUAUUCCAUUCCUACCAUAUGAAUCUUGAUCUCUAGCCUUCCCCAAGUUGCUUUCCACUCAAAUAUUAUUUCCACCAGAUCCAAAUCCUAUGUGAGAGAGUUGAGUGUUGGGGAGACUAUCAUUUGAAGCACAAGAGCAAGGAGUUCAUCAUCAAUGCACCAUUUGUUACUUCUUGGAGAGUGGUGUCUCCUAGAUUGGCUAGGUGUCACUUGGGAGCCUCCCACAAGAUUGUGGAGUUGAACCAAGGAGUUUGUAAGGGCAAGGAGAUUGCCUACUUCAUGAAGAUUUACCGCUAGUGAGGCAAGUCCUUCGUGGGCGACGGCCAUGGUGGGAUAGACAAGGUUGCUUCUUCGUGGACCCUUCUUGGGUGGAGCCCUCCGUGGACUCGCGCAGCCGUUACCCUUCGUGGGUUGAAGUCUCCAUCAACGUGGAUGUACGAUAGCACCACCUAUCGGAACGACGCCAAAAACAUCCGUGUCUCCAACUGCGUUUGAAUCCUCCAAACCCUUCCCUUUACUUUCUUGCAAGUUGCAUGCUUUAAUUUCCGCUGCCUAUAUACUCUUUGCAUGCUUGCUUGAUUUGAGUGAUGAUUGCUUGACUUGUCCAAAGGUUGCUAAAAUCUGCAAAACUCUAAAAUUGGGAAAAGGUUAAGUUUUUAAUUGGUCAAGUAGUCUAAUCACCCCCCCUCUAGACAUACUUCAAGGUCCUACAAGUGGUAUCAGAGCCUUGGUCUCCAUUUGCUUCGAUUACCAUAGCUUUUGGUGGUCAUAGCCUUGGUUUAACAACCUAGGAGAGUAUGGCACCUAGCGAGGGAAAUUAUCACCGUAGAGGUCCUUACUUUGAUGGCACUAAUUUUGCUAGUUGGAAACAUAAGAUGAAAAUGCAUAUUCUCGGACAUAACCCCGCCGUUUGGGCUAUUAUUUGUAUUGACUUGCUAGGUGAUGAUGAUUUACUUGUUGACAACUCUAGUGAUGAAUACUAUGAUGGAACAUCAAUUAAUCAUGGUAAACAAGAUAAAACGAAUGACAAUGAUAAGGAGAAGAUUGAGCUUCUAACUAAAGAACUAAACACUCUUAAGUUAGCUCAUGAAACUAUCUUCGAGAAUCAUCGAGAACUUUUAAGGGCUCAUGAGAAGUUAUGCUUUGAAAAGCUCAAUCUUGAGCAAGAGCAUGAGUUCUUAAAGGCAAUCAAUGAUGAUCUUCGCAAGAAAAGUUCUUAUAUUGCCAAGUGUUUACUCUUAUCCACUUACAUGCCUCAAGUCAAGUCUAGUAACAAGAACAAGAAAGAUUCUUCCUCUAGUAGUAACAAUGAUUAUGCUAAAUUAAAUAUUGUUGCUUCUAGUAGUUCACUUGAUUCCACUAAUGAUUCUCUUAGCCAAGUUACACUUGAGCAAGAAAAUAGCUUAUUGAAGGGAAUUAUAGAGAAAGGUGUAUACAAGAGUCUUGCCGCGAGUAAGCAAUUCGAGGAAAUUGUACGCAAGCAAGGAAGGCACCGGAAGAAUCAAGGUGUUGGUUUUGAACGAAAGUUCAAUGCCAAUGGAGUUGAGCGGGAAGAAGAUCAAUACCCCAAGACGAAGUUUGUUCCUCAACAAGAGAAGUAUGAUCCUACUUCCUUCAAGGGAACACAAACACAAGAUGAUCUUCCACCACAAGACCACAAGAACAAAGGCAAGGACAAGCUUCAAGAGGAGAUUGAUGCAUUUGAAGAAGCACCCAAGGCCUUGGUCAAGUGGGUUCCCAAGACUACGCCAAGUUCUACUUCAUCAAGUACAACUACAACUCCAAGGAUUCCCAUCAAGAUGAUGUGGAUCCCGAAGAAGAAGAACUAGAGAGUUCUUGAGGGUGACUCCGCCAACAUUCUUCACUCAUAUCAUUAUGGCAAGAACAAGUGCAAUCAACUUCCACAUCUUGCACUAGUUCAAGGAGUCACAAACCCUCAUGUUGGUAAGGCAAGGGACUAGGUAACCUAAUGAUUUCAUGGACACCAUCUUGUGUGUGCAUCACUCUAUGUCUAUGGAUAUUCUUGUUUGUUCCUUGUGGGACUAACCCAUGUAGGUAUGUUGAAAGUGCAACUCACUCCAAAGGAUUGCUCCAAAUGAUCUACACCAACAUUGAGCAUUCACAUCUUCAACACCUACAUGAAGUCAUCAUCGACAAAACCCGAGGUUAGUUCAUUCCUCUAAAAGGGGAUGUCACAUAUAGGGGGAGCUUAACUCUAAGAAUUGAGUCAAAGCAACUCUAAUGGUGUGAACACAUCAAUGCAUUAUGUAAAAGUGGUAACCCCACUUGAGCUUAAACGAUGAGUGUGACCUAUGAUCAAAUGUUCUCAUUUGACUCCUAAGUCAAUAUACUCAUAUAUAGAUGACCUAGUCAUCGCCAAUUGUUUGAUAGAUGCUAGAUUUGGUUGUGCAUGCUUUGCCACAUAUUUCAUUUGUCAUUUUAUUGUGUGAGCAUGUUGGUUUCAUAUUUUAAUCAUUCGAGGACAUCCACUUGUUGUUUUGAUUGAUUGGUUUCUAUUUCUUUGGCCAAGUGGAUGGACAAGAAUGCCUAAGAACCUUCUCUAGCUAUCUAUGCUUUUCUUGUCUCAAACUCUAUUCAUGCUACAUCACAAAAUUUGAUCAAGUCAGAUUCGAACCACUCUGUGUGAGGAGCACUCGGAGUCCCCGAUUCGUCAGAGACUUAAACUUCCAAAACUUCUUUGUGAUUCUCGGUCUGACCUAUUCCUCCAUUUCGGUCCCACCGAGAUCACUAAGUCGAUCUAGGUUUUCAAUCUCGGUGCAACCGAUUUGAACUUUUCGGCCCCACCAAGUUGCAGUAACUGUAUAUAGUUAUGCAUCUCGGUGUCACCGAGUUGUUCCACUCGGUCACACCGACAGGGUCGGGCUAUAUAUAGUCACGGGCAAAAAUUUGGAAAUUCCUCCAAUCCCCUUCGCCCGCGCAUUGCUCACUCUGCCUCCAGGGUCUCUGGAUCGUCUCCUUGUCGCCAGCCGCCUCCUAUCGCUGGUCUCCACCGCCGUCAACGGAUUUCACCCCCGCCGUUGCCACCGUAGCGAGUUCAUUGCCGAGCUAGGGUAUGGACUCAAUCACAGUGCUAUCUUCGUCUGAUUCCUAGCAUAUUGUAUUCAUCAUGUAUCUUGCCACGAUUGGAACACUCCUAUCCAGUCAAUAUGAUCCUUAGAAUAGAUGUGAUUUAAGAAUUUAGGGUUAGGUUUCCGCCGAAACCAUCUCGGACCCACCGAGUUGAAAAACUCGGUCCCACCGAUUUGGCUAACGCCAUUGCACUAGUAACUCUCGGUCUGACCGAGAAUUACAAAUCGGUGUGACCGAUUUUAGAACUUUGUGAAACCCUAGCAGUCUUGGUGCCACCAAACUAUGACUCGGUCUGACCGAGUUCACUAGUUUAGGUUCCAAAACUGCUUCGGUAUCACCGAGUUUGAAAGUCGGUAGAUCCGAAAUGCUUUCUGUGGAAACUAAAACUAAGUUUUUGAAUCAUUCUUUUGCAAAAAUCUCUGCAUUUUGUGAUGCUCAUCCAUUCUAUCUCAUCUAUAACUAUUCACAGGGUCAGCAGUCAGUGAUUUGCAGCAUGUCAGACCAAAGUGAUAGUCAGAACAAGUCAGCAAAGCAGAUUCACAUGAGUGAGGGCACUAGUCCCUCUAGCAGCUCAGAUGAAGGGAGCAGAAGCACUCCAAGCAACCUGCCCAAAGCAGCCACAAGAGCAAGAAGGAAGAGAACCUCAGACUCUAAGGAUGAGGAUUAUGUGGCUGUUGAAGAUGAGGCUACUUCCAAGAAGGUAGAGCUCAAAAAGGUGCACAGCUCAACUGCAGUAAAGCCAGGCAUGAAGAUCAAAAGGCCAGCAGGAAGACAGCCAAUGUCCAAAGCCAGGGCAUCAACUCAAGUACCUGAAAAGCCUGAUCCCAAAGAGCCAGCUGCAGAAGGAAAGAAAAGGAAGGAAAGGGUCAAGAAGACCAUGGCCAGAGUUGUUGGUUAACCUUCCAUGAUGGAAGAGGAAAAAGAGGUUGCUGCACCAGCACCCAAGACAUAGAAGCUUAUGGGUGAUGCUAUAAGAUCAGGGGCUGCAACAUCAAAGCCCAAAGAAGCACCCAAAGCUGCCCCAAGCCCAAGAAUGCACCAAAGAGGAAUAGCAGGAGUAUUCUAGCUGCUGAGAAGAACAAGGCCCCAGUGCCUGAAGUUGCUGAUGAUGAAGAGGAUGAAGGACAAGUCCUGAGGAAGCUAAAGCCCAACAUUCCAGACCACAAUGAUGCUCAUCCUGUAGCUGAGGACAUGAAAAUCAGGAGAGACUCAGGGUUGAGGCUAUGGAGGAUGACAGAUCCAUAUGCCACCAGGAGAAGGACUGUUGUUGAUUACAGGUUCCAUACAAAGGAACAGUAGGACUUCUAUGAGACAAUCUUGUUGGACAAGAAGCCCAUAGUGUGUGAUAUGAGGUGGGUCGACUGGACCUACAUGAAGGAGAAUGAGGAACACUAUCCUGGAGUGUAUGAUAGUUUUGAAGCUUGUGGAGUUGCAGAUUUUGUUGGGCAGAAUCUCACCAACUGGAAUGAUGAACUCAUUAUGCAAUUCUACUCCACAGCACACUUCUAUCCAGAUGGCAGGAUAGUGUGGAUGUCAGAAGGUACGAGGUACCAGUCAACCAUAGAAGAAUGGGCUAGCCUGAUCAAUGCCCCCAAGGAGAGUGAAGAUGACUUGGAUGUCUAUGCCAAGAAGAAAAUGGGACACAAUACUAUGGCACAUAUGUACAAGGAGAUCCCAGACAAAGCUCUUGAGACUUUCUCGUUUGGAUCAGUCCACUUUCUUCUUUCAAGGCUGCCUACGAUCAACUGGAUCCUAAGGCACACUCUUUUGCCCAAGUCAGGUGACCACAACAUGAUUAGAGGGCAUGCUAUCAACUUGCUGCAUAUAUUUGAUGUGCCACAGAAAUUCAAAGUCAUGAGCCUUAUGGUUGAGACCAUUAAGAGGACUGCAGCAGACCAGAAGAGAAGUUGUGGAUAUGCCCCACAGAUUCAGGAGUUGAUAAACUCAAAGAUGAGCACAAGCAAAUAUCUGUUGGAUAAGGAACAUUUUGCUCUUUAUCCAGACUUUGAGGACAAUCAAGUUGUCAUGACUGAGAAUGAACCAUCAUCAGUGCAAGCUCAAGAGAAGAAGGAGAAGGCAAGGAAAGAGAAGGCUGCCAAGAUGCCAACUCAAGAGGAGGCAUCUGAGUAUUUCUUGAAGAACAAACAUGAGCAGCUUGGUUACUUGAUAGCAUCAACACUGAGGAUUGAGAAGGGGUUGGCCACCCUAACUCAAAACCAGGAGAGCCUGGAAAGAAUCAUGGAACAAAAAUUCUAUGAUCUUGAUGUCAAAGUAACUGAGAUUCAGUCAGUUGUGGAGCAGCUUCAGGAAGACAUGCAUGAGAGGAAGGGCAAGACAACCACUGAUGCAUUUGCCAGAGUGCCUAGAGCUCAGAGGUCAGCUGUCGUGCCUGUGACAGACACUAGAGCCACAUCAUCUGCACCAGCAACAGCUUCUACAGCUCCAGGACAACUAGCUCCAGCACCAACUCCUCCAGCUCCCUCUACAUCAACUGAAGCCUUCAUCCAAGGAGUUAUCCGAACACCACCACCACCUGAAGACCAAGCCUGAGAGUCGAUCUAGCACUAUGCAUUUUUUAUGAACUUUUUGGUAACUUGUUGCCAAAUGGGGAGAAAAAUGUAUAGAUCAUAGGCUUCGAGAGAGAGAGUGUUGGUUCUUUUGUUCUCUCUUGUCUUCUUGGUUAAACUUUGUUUGCUUUUGAUUGUUUGAGAUACUAUGCAAUUACCUGUGAGACACUGAUGAUCAUGUGUGUGAUCAUAAGCUACACUUAUACCUGUUUGAUGAUAUUAUCUUACCUAUCCUUAUAUGAUCAUUCACUUUGCUUGGUGAUGAGUGCAUGUAUUCAAUCUUUAUUAUUUUGAGUGCUCCACCAAGAUGUAUGUGACAUGGAAGAGUAACCCAUGAGCCUAAUUCCUUGUGCAUUUGCAGUCCAAAGCAAAUCUUAAACUAUGCACAAAUUUAGGGGGAGCUCUUGCUUAUCACAUACUUCUCAAAGCGACGAUGUUUUACAAUCUUAUUAUCUUUUGUCGAAGCUUUGAUCUAUAUGUUGUCAUCAAUUACCAAAAAGAGGGAGAUUGAAAGUGCAACUAUCCCUAGGUGGUUUUGGUAAUUCAUAACAUCAUAUAGCUCAUUGAGCUAAUGCUAUUCAAAGACUAUUAUUUCAGGAAAGCUCAAUGAAUGGCAUGGCAUGGAUGAUGAAAGUGGACCCCUCAAAAUAUCAAGGACAAAUGAUUGGCUCAAGCUCAAAAGCUCAAGACUCUUCAUUUUACAUUUUAGUGAUCCAAGAUCACAUUGAGUCUAUAGGAAAAGCCAAUACUAUCAAGGAGGGAUGAGGUGUUGCUUAAUGAGCCUCUUACUUCAAGUGAUUAGUGAUAUGCUCCAAAUACCCUCAACUACUUUCUCACAUCCUCAUAUGACCUAAACCUAAAGCCAAAAUCGAUCACACCGAUUCUUUCUAUCCGGCGCCAAUGAGUUCAGAUGUCAUAGCCACUGCCACAAACCCUAGGCAAAUCGGUCUCACCGAUAGGGAUCUCGGUCUCACCGAGAUGGGAUUGUAAUCUCUCUGUUUCCCUUCGUAAUGUUUCGGUCUAACCGAAGUGAGCGAUCGGUCCCACCGAGAUUGCAAUGUAAACUCUCUAUUUCCCUUUUGUAACAUUUCGGUCUCACCGAAAAGAGCAAAUCGGUCCCACCGAGUUUACCUGACCAACUCUCUGGUUAGCUAAUUACCAAAAUCGGUCUCACCGAGUUUGUGUAAUCGGUCUCACCGAGAUUACGUUAUGCCCUAACCCUAACCAUAUCGGUCCUACCGAGUUGCAUGUCGGUCCCACCGAAAAUCCUAACGGUCACUAGGUUUACUAAAUCAGUCUGAACGAGUUUGUUGAUUCGGUCCCACCGAGAUUGGUAAAUUGUGCGUAACGGUUAGAUUUUGUGUGGAGGCUAUAUAUACCCCUCCACCUCCUCUUCAUUCGUGGAGAGAGCCAUCAGAACAAACCUACACUUACAACUUACCAGUUCCGAGAGAGAACUACCUACUCAUGUGUUGAGGCCAAGAUAUUCCAUUCCUACCAUAUGAAUCUUGAUCUCUAGCCUUCCCCAAGUUGCUUUCCACUCAAAUAUUCUUUCCACCAGAUCCAAAUCCUAUGAGAGAGAGUUGAGUGUUGGGGAGACUAUCAUUUGAAGCACAAGAGCAAGGAGUUCAUCAUCAAUGCACCAUUUGUUACUUCUUGGAGAGUGGUGUCUCCUAGAUUGGCUAGGUGUCACUUGGGAGCCUCUGACAAGAUUGUGGAGUUGAACCAAGGAGUUUGUAAGGGCAAGGAGAUCGCCUACUUCGUGAAGAUCUACCGCUAGUGAGGCAAGUCCUUCAUGGGCGACGACCAUGGUGGGAUAGACAAGGUUGCUUCUUCGUGGACCCUUCUUGGGUGGACCCCUCCGUGGACUCGCGCAGCCGUUACCCUUCGUGGGUUGAAGUCUCCAUCAACGUGGAUGUACGAUAGCACCACCUAUCGGAACGACGCCAAAAACAUCCGUGUCUCCAACUGCGUUUGAAUCCUCCAAACCCUUCCCUUUACUUUCUUGCAAGUUGCAUGCUUUAAUUUCCGCUGCCUAUAUACUCUUUGCAUGCUUGCUUGAUUUGAGUGAUGAUUGCUUGACUUGUCCAAAGGUUGCUAAAAUCUGCCAAACUCUAAAAUUGGGAAAAAGGGUAAUUUUUAAUUGGUCAAGUAGUCUAAUCACACUCCCUCUAGACAUACUUCAAGGUCCUACAAAGAUGGAUAUGAAGAUGGUCUAAAAUAGAGCUCAGAUGCAAAAGUUAUGACAAGAUCAGAGAUGCUCAUGUUGACACAAGAUUAAAGAAUGGCUGGAAACCCAAUUAAGAUGGCCUCGUAUGGAAAAAGUUUCAACACAAAGUUGUGCAUCUUGUCAAAACAAUUGAUUUUGAUAUAAAAACAUCUCAAUCAGAGUUCGUAUGCAAAAGUUAAAGCCAAAACAGUGUGUUGCAGAAGUCUACCCUGGAAGUUCCGGGCAACUUCUGGGCUAAACCGAAAGUUUGCACGAGGUGCGCCUUGUAAAUUGAAAUAUCAACAUUAUUUGCAGAUUUGCAGGCUCGAAUUCAACCUCAAGAUGACCUCAGAUGAAAAAGUGAUCAACUAAUGAGUUUUUCUCCAUUGGAAGAUCUACAACAUUGCUUUUGGGACCACUGCGAUGUGAAGCCAUAUGCGAGAUGCAGGAGUGGUGCAAGAGGGCUACUUGAUGUAAUGUUAGCCCGGAAGUUCCGGGACUACCAGAAGUUCCGCCCCCCUAGUCCGAGUUAGGUUAACUUUUGAUGUUUUGGAUGAGAUUUGAGUCCUUUUCUUGUACGGAAAGUCCAGCCACCUCAUAUAUAUGUAAGAGGUGACGGCCGAUUGAAUAACAACACACAAUCGAUCUAUCAAUAUAUCACUUUUUACCUUUACUUUAUCUUCUCCCUUGUUCUUCUCCUCCCCUGUUCUUCAUUCGUUCCUCGUGAAGGAGGGCAGUGAUCCAUGAGGCCCUAGGGGCGAUUAGGUCGACCUAGGGCAGCCCAUAGUUGCCGCGCGCCCUGACGGGGUCCCUCCCGGACGUGUGGGGUUUUGGGUCUACAAAAGCACCCGCCGGACUGCUUGCGUACCGCGCUUCCGGCCAGGUCUCCUUCAACAUGAGCUGCGGUGCAUCACCCUUGGCGUCGAAGGCACAAGGUGUCGUGUUCGUGUGCGAACAGACUUUUUGGCGACUCCGCUGGGGACAAAGCUUCGAACGGUCUCCAGCCCGUUCGUACUACGAAGAGAUCUCAUCUAGGGUUUGCAGUCUACAAAGGUAAUAUGAAUACCCAAUCCCCUUGUGUAGAUGCAAAUAUUUCAUAUAGUGUGUUACUAGAUUGUUCAAUAUGUAUACUCUAUCGGCCAACCCUAGUUUUUUCAAUCAUGCAUCUAACUACGUGCAAGGAUCGACUCAAAGUAAUUUACAAGCUUCAACUUCUUAUGAUACUAGUAUAUACUACCAUAUAUGGCACAUACAUGCAUGUGGGGACAUGUCAUGUUGGACUCUUAUCUUGGUCGCAUUAUCCAACUACCCACUACCAUGAUUCUUAUAAAUUACACCCUUGUACUGAACCGUCGAUCUUCAUCUCUAGUUUGUACCUUAAGGAUAAGGAUAAGAGCAUCUAUAGCCGGGUGCCUCAAACCCGCCUCAAAUGGCCGGACGGGCUGCUCGGUAACUAACGAUCAUGAAAAUUCGACCCAGACGGGCUCCUUAAACGAGCCUCAAAUGCCCGGGCUGACUGGCACCCCUCAUAUCCGGCCCAAACAUGGAGCGGAUUGGGGCCUCGGGCGAAUCCACCACGUCAGACCCGCCAACCCCAUCCACAUUAAAUUGCACCAAAUCCACCAAACGCUUCCUCCUCCUCCCGCCUCCCUCCUACCUUUCCCGCGCACGAGCCUUCACCGGCCGCCACCCUUGGUCCCCAUCCACACCACCGGUCUUGAUCCGCCACCCUAGAUGUCAUCCAGCCUGUUCCUGACCACCGCGACGGAGACUGCGUCCGCCUCAUCCGUCGGCAUCCCAUCCUCGUCUCCGUCGUGCAAGGCAGAGAACGUCGCCCGGAGGAUGCGAUAACGCCGCAGCGAGAGAGGGAAGCUGCAGCACAAGGACAUACCGACAUGGACGAGCAGCUACCCCCUCCCCCCCUCCAUGCCCCGAACCCCGCACCUCUUGGGGAACGUAGCAGAAAUUCAAAAUUUUCCUACGUGUCACCAAGAUCUGUCUAUGGAGAAACCAGCAACGAGGGGAAGGAGAGUGCAUCUACAUACCCUUGUAGAUUGCUAAGCGGAAGCGUUCAAGAGAACGGGGUUGAAGGAGUUGUACUCAUCGUGAUCCAAAUCACCGGAGAUCCUAGUGCCGAACGGACGGCACCUCCGCAUUCAACACACGUACAGCCCGGUGACGUCUCCCAUGCCUUGAUCCAGCAAGGAGAGAGGGAGAGGUUGAGGAAGACUCCGUCCAGCAGCAGCACAACGAUGUGGUGGUGAUGGAGGAGCAUGGCAAUCCUGCAGGGCUUCGCCAAGCACCGCGGGAGAGAAGAAGGGAGAGAGGUAGGGUUGCGCCAGGGAGAGGUCAAACUCAUGUGUUGGUAGCCCUCAAGACCUCAACUAUAUAUAAGGAUGAGGGAGGGGGGUGCGCCCCCUCUAGGGUUUCCACCCCAAGGGGUGCGGCAGCCCCAAUCCCAUCUAGGGUGGCGGCCAAGGGGGGGAGAGGGGAAACUUGCCCCCCAAGUUAGGUGGGUGCGCCCCCUCUCCCAACCCUAGGCGCCUCGGGCCCUUGUGGGGGGCGCACCAGCCCACCUGGGGCUGGUCCCCUCCCACAAUUGGCCCAUGCAGCCCUCCGGGGAUGGUGGCCCCACUUGGUGGACCCCCGGGACCCUCCCGGUGGUCCCGAUACGUUACCGAUAAAACCCGAAACUUUUCCGGUGACCAAAACAGGACUUCCCAUAUAUAAAUCUUCACCUCCGGACCAUUCCGGAACUCCUCAUGACGUCCGAGAUCUCAUCCGGGACUCCAAACAACAUUCGGUAACCACAUACAAACUUCCUUUAUAACCCUAGCGUCAUCGAACCUUAAGUGUGUAGACCCUACGGGUUCGGGAACCAUGCAGACAUGACCGAGACAUUCUCCGGUCAAUAACCAAGAGCGGGAUCUGGAUACCCAUGUUGGCUCCCACAUGUUCCACGAUGAUCUCAUCGGAUGAACCACGAUGUCAAGGACUCAAUCAAUCCCGUAUACAAUUCCCUUUGUCUAGCGGUAUUAUACUUGCCCGAGAUUCGAUCGUCGGUAUCCCGAUAUCUUUGUUCAGUCUCGUUACCGGCAAGUCUCUUUACUCGUUCCGUAACACAUCAUCCCGUGAUCAACCCCUUGGUCACAUGGUGCACAUUAUGAUGAUGUCCUACCGAGUGGGCCCAGAGAUACCUCUCCGUCAACCGGAGUGACAAAUCCCAGUCUCGAUUCAUGCCAACCCAACAGACACUUUCGGAGAUACCUGUAGUGCACCUUUAUAGCGACCCAGUUACGUUGUGACGUUUGGUACAACCAAAGCAUCCCUACGGUAUCCGGGAGUUGCACAAUCUCCACCAUCCUCCCACUCAAUUCUUUCGAGAGAAACUUUUCCUCGAGAAAGGACCCGUUUCUAGAAACAAUUACUCUUGCUUCCGGAUCUGAGAUAGGAGGUAUACCCAACCAUUUUGGGUAUCCUAUGAAGAUGUAUUUAUCCGUUUUGGGUUCGAGCUUAUCACGAUGAAACUUUUUCACAUAAGCGUCGCAGCCCCAAACUUUCAAGAAACGACAACUUAGGUUUCUCCAAACCAUAGUUCAAACGGUGUCGUCUCAACGGAAUUAUGUGGUGCCCUAUUAAAGUGAGUGCGGUUGUCUCUAAUGCCUAACCCAUGAACGAUAGUGUUAAUUCGAUAAGAGACAUCAUGGUACGCACCAUAUCCAAUAGGGUGCAACUAUGAUGUUCGGACACACCAUCACACUAUGGUGUUCCAGGCGGUAUUAAUUGUGAAACAAUUUCCACAAUGUCUUAAUUGCGUGCCAAAGCUCGUAACUCAGAUACUCAUCUCUAUGAUCAUAUCAUAGACAUUUUAUCCUCUUGUCACGAUGAUCUUCAACUUCACUCUGAAAUUACUUGAACCAUUCAAUAAUUCAGACUUGUGUUUCAUCAAGUAAAUAUACUUAACAUCUACUCGAAUCAUCUGUGAAGUAAGAACAUAACAAUAUUCACUGCAUGCCUCAGCACUCAUUGGACUGCACACAUCAAAUGUGUUACUUCCAACAAGUUGCUAUCUUGUUCCAUCUUACAGAAAACGAGGCUUUUUCAGUCAUCUUGCCCAUGUGGUUUGAUUUGCAUAUCUCAAGUGAUUCAAAAUCAAGUGAGUCCAAACGAUCCAUCUGCAUGGAGUUUCUUCAUGCGUAUACACCAAUAGACAUGGUUCGCAUGUCUCAAACCUUUUUAAAACGAGUGAGUCCAAAGAUCCAUCAACAUGGAGCUUCUUCAUGCAUUUUACACCAAUAUGACUUACAUGGCAGUGCCACAAGUAAGUAGUACUAUCAUUACUAUCUUAUAUCUUUUGGCAUGAAAAUGAGUAUCACUACGAUCGAGAUUCAACAAACCAUUCCUUUUAGGUGCAAGAUCAUUGAAGGUAUUAUUCAAAUAAACAGAGUAAUCAUUAUUCUCCUUAAAUGAAUAACCGUAUUGUGAUAGACAUAAUCCAAUCAUGUCUAUGCUCAACGCAAACACCAAGUAACAAUUAUUUAGGUUUAAUACCAAUCUCGAUGGCAGAGGGAGCGUGCGAUGCUUGAUCACAUCAACCUUGGAAACACUUCCAACACAUAUCGUCAGCUCACCUUUAGCUAGUCUCCGUUUAUUCCAUAGCUUUUAUUUCGAGUUACUAACACUUAGCAACCGAACCGGUAUCUAAUACCCUGGUGCUACUAGGAGAACUAGUAAAGUACACAUUAACAUAAUGUAUAUCAAAUAUACUUCUAUCGACCUUUGCCAGCCUUCUUAUCUACCAAGUAUCUAGGGUGGCUCUGCUCCAGUGUCUGUUCCCUCAUUACAGAAGCACUUAGUCUCGGGUUUGGGUUCAACCUUGGGUUUUCACUAGAGCAGCAACUGUUUUGCCGUUUCAUGAAGUAUCCCUUCUUGCCCUUGCCCUUCUUGAAACUAGUGGUUUCACCAACCAUCAACAAUUCAUGCUCCUUCUUGAUUUCUACUUUCGUGGUGUUAAAUGUUGCGAAUACCUCAAGGAUCAUCAUAUCUAUCCCUGAUAUGUUAUAGUUCAUCACGAAGCUCUAGCAGCUUGGUGGCAAUGACUUUGGAGAAACAUCACUAUCUCAUCUGGAAGAUCAACUCCCACUCGAUUCAAGUGAUUGUUGCACUUAGACAAUCUGAGCACAAGCUCAACGAUUGAGCUUUUCUCCCUUAGUUUGCAGGCUAAGAAAAUCGUCGGAGGUCUUAUACCUCUUGACGUGGGCACGAGCCUGAAAUCCCAAUUUCAGCCCUCGAAACAUCUCUUAUGUUCCGCGACGUUUCGAAAACGUCUUUGGUGCCUCAACUCUAAACCAUUUAACUAAACUAUCACGUAGUUAUCAAAACGUGUAUGUCCGAUGUUUGCAACAUCCACAGACGAUGUUUGGGGUUCAGCACACUGAGCAGUGCAUUAAGGACAUAAGCUUUCUACUGUCCGUAUAAUCGCUACUGUCAACUUUCAACUAUAUUUUCUCUAGGAACAUAUCUAAAACAGUAGAACUAAAGCGCGAGCUAUGACAUAAUUUGCAAAGGGCUUUUGACUAUGUUCAAGAUAAUUAAGUUCAUCUAAUGAACUCCCACUCAGAUAGACAUCCCUCUAGUCAUCUAAGUGAUUACAUGACCCGAGUCAACUAGGCCGUGUCCCAUCAUCACGUGAUACAGACUAGUCCUCAUCGGUGAACAUCUUCAUGUUGAUCGUAUCCACCAUACGACUCAUGCUUGACCUUUCGGUCUCUUGUGUUCCGAGGCCAUGUCUGUACAUGCUAGGCUCGUCAAGUCAACCUAAGUGUUUCGCGUGUGUAAAUCUGGCUUACACCCGUUGUAUGUGAACGUAAGAAUCUAUCACACCCGAUCAUCACGUGGUGCUUCGAAACGAUGAACUUUCGCAACGGUGCACAGUUAGGGGGAACACUUUCUUGAAAUUUUAAUGAGCGAUCAUCUUAUUUACUACCGUAGUUCUAUGCAAAUAAGAUGCAUAAACAUGAUAAACAUCACAUGCAAUCAAAUAGUGACAUGAUAUGGCCAAUAUCAUUUUGCUCCUUUUGAUCUCCAUCUUUGGGGAUCCAUGAUCAUCAUCGUCACCGGCAUGACACCAUGAUCUCCAUCAUCAUGAUCUCCAUCAUCGUGUCUUCAUGAAGUUGUCUCGCCAACUAUUACUUCUACUACUAUGGCUACCGCUUAGCAAUAAAGUAAAGUAAUUACAUAGCGUUGUUUAAUGACACGCAGGUCAUACAAUAAAUUAAGACAACUCCUAUGGCUCCUGCCGGUUGUCAUACUCAUCGACAUGCAAGUUGUGAUUCCUAUUACAAGAACAUGAUCAAUCUCAUACAUCACAUAUCAUUCAUCACAUUCUUCUUGGCCAUAUCACAUCACAUAGCAUACCCUGCAAAAACAAGUUAGACGUCCUCUAAUUGUUGUUUGCAUGUUUUACGUGGCUGCUAUGGGUUUCUAGCAAGAACGUUUCUUACCUACGCAAAACCAUAAUGUGAUAUGUCAAUUGCUAUUUACCCUUCAUAAGGACCAUUUUCAUCGAAUCCGUUCCGACUAAAGUGGGAGAGACUGGCACCUGCUAGCCACCUUAUGCACCAAGUGCAUGUCAGUCGGUGGAACCUGUCUCACAUAAGAGUACGUGAAAGGUCGGUCCGGGCCGCUUCAUCCCACAAUACUGUCGAAACAAGAUUGGACUAGGAACGGUAAGCAUAUUGAACAAAAUCAACGCCCACAACUACUUUGUGUUCUACUCGUGCAUAGAGUCUACGCAAUAGACCUAGCUCAUGAUGCCACUGUUGGGGAACGUAGCAGAAAUUCAAAAUUUUCCUACGUGUCACCAUGAUCUGUCUAUGGAGAAACCAGCAACGAGGGGAAGGAGAGUGCAUCUACAUACCCUUGUAGAUCGUUAAGAGGAAGCGUUCAAGAGAAUGGGGUUGAAGGAGUCGUACUCGUCGUGAUCCAAAUCACCGGAGAUCCUAGUGCCGAAUGGACGGCACCUCCGUGUUCAACACACGUACAGCCCGGUGACGUCUCCCAUGCCUUGAUCUAGCAAGGAGAGAGGGAGAGGUUGAGGAAGACUCUGUCCAGCAGCAGCACAAUGACGUGGUGGUGAUGGAGGAUCGUGGCAAUCCUGUACGGCUUCGCCAAGCACCGCGGGAGAGGAGAAGGGAGAGAGGUAGGGCUGCGCCAGGGAGAGGUCAAACUCAUGUGUUGGCAGCCCUCAAGACCUCAACUAUAUAUAGGGGAGAGGGAGGGGGUGCGCCCCCUCUAGGGUUUCCACCCCAAGGGGUGCGGCAGCCCCAAUCCCAUCUAGGGUGGCGGCCAAGGUGGGGAGAGGGGAAACUUGCCCCCCAAGUUAGGUGGGUGCGCCCCCUCUCCCAACCCUAGGCACCUUGGGCCCUUGUGGGGGGCGCACCAGCCCACCUGGGGCUGGUCCCCUCCCACACUUGGCCCAUGCAGCCCUCCGGGGAUGGUGGCCCCACUUGGUGGACCCCCGGGACCCUCCCGGUGGUCCCGAUACGUUACCGAUAAAACCCGAAACUUUUCCGGUGACCAAAACAGGACUUCCCAUAUAUAAAUCUUUACCUCCGGACCAUUUCGGAACUCCUCAUGACGUCCGGGAUCUCAUCCGGGACUCUGAAAAACAUUCGGUAACCACAUACAAACUUCCUUUAUAACCAUAGCGUCAUCGAACCUUAAGUGUGUAGACCCUACGGGUUCGGGAACCAUGCAGACAUCACCGAGACGUUCUCCGGUCAAUAACCAACAGCGGGAUCUGGAUACCCAUGUUGGCUCCCACAUGUUCCACGAUGAUCUCAUCGGAUGAACCACGAUGUCAAGGACUCAAUCAAUCUCGUAUACAAUUCCCUUUGUCUAGCGGUAUUAUACUUGCCCGAGAUUCGAUCGUCGGUAUCCCGAUACCUUUGUUCAAUCUCGUUACCGGCAAGUCUCUUUACUCGUUCCGUAACACAUCAUCCCGUGAUCAACCCCUUGGUCACAUGGUGCACAUUAUGAUGAUGUCCUACCGAGUGGGCCUAGAGAUACCUCUCCGUCAACCGGAGUGACAAAUCCCAGUCUCGAUUCAUGCCAACCCAACAGACACUUUCGGAGAUACCUGUAGUGCACCUUUAUAGCCACCCCGUUACGUUGUGAUGUUUGGUACAACCAAAGCAUCCCUACGGUAUCCGGGAGUUGCACAAUCUCAUGGACAAAGGAAAUGAUACUUGACAUUAGAAAAGCUUUAGCAUACGAACUACACGAUCUUUGUGCUAGGCUUAGGAUUGGGUCUUGUCUAUCACAUCUUUCUCCUAAUGAUGUGAUCCCGUUAUCAACGACAUCCAAUGUCCAUGGUCAGGAAACCGUAACCAUCUAUUGAUCAACGAGCCAGUCAACUAGAGGCUUACUAGGGACAUGGUGUUGUCUAUGUACCCACACAUGUAUCUGAGUUUCCUAUCAAUACAAUUAUAGCAUGGAUAAUAAACGAUUAUCAUGAACAAGGAAAUAUAAUAAUAAUAACUAAUUUAUUAUUGCCUCUAGGGCAUAUUUCCAACAGCACCCUAUCCAUCCAAUCAACAAGCGAGACAUCCGUCACAAUCGGACAUUUAUUUCGUUUUGGCAUGUCUGGAUUGUUGAACUAUGAUUUUCUUUGCUUUGUCUCGAACUGUUGAAUUUGGACAAUUUGUAUCGUAUGAUCGACGUGCAUGGGUUGCAUGUAUUUGAUUCUCUAUAUUUGAGGUAUGUGGAUGUGCGACAACCCAUAUGAAGGGCCGGCGGGCGCUGUCCACGGACGCGCUCGUGGGCGUAUAGGGGCCGGACUUGCCAAGUUCGGUUGUAGAUGCUCUAAGUAACAAGUGGAUCGCAAUCUAAGUUUGAGAUUAUCUCCAAUGUCUAACUAAACGGGCGUCAUACGUCCCAUCCUUCAGGAUGAAUAAGAUCACAUCUGGCAAAUAAUUAUUUUUUGAUAUCUGUUUUGGUCCUUACAUUAUAUAUNNNNNNNNNNNNNNNNNNNNNNNNNNNNNNNNNNNNNNNNNNNNNNNNNNNNNNNNNNNNNNNNNNNNNNNNNNNNNNNNNNNNNNNNNNNNNNNNNNNNNNNNNNNNNNNNNNNNNNNNNNNNNNNNNNNNNNNNNNNNNNNNNNNNNNNNNNNNNNNNNNNNNNNNNNNNNNNNNNNNNNNNNNNNNNNNNNNNNNNNNNNNNNNNNNNNNNNNNNNNNNNNNNNNNNNNNNNNNNNNNNNNNNNNNNNNNNNNNNNNNNNNNNNNNNNNNNNNNNNNNNNNNNNNNNNNNNNNNNNNNNNNNNNNNNNNNNNNNNNNNNNNNNNNNNNNNNNNNNNNNNNNNNNNNNNNNNNNNNNNNNNNNNNNNNNNNNAAUAAUACAUAUUCACAAAAAAUAUUAUGAAUGACGAAUCUACUAACAAUAUUUUCAGUGAGCCAAUUUUAAAUAGUAUUGCCACAUACCAGGAGAUAGCAGCAGAGAAUGUAAUUUACAAACACUUUAAUGAUAUGCAGGCCAUUAGAAGCAAUAGAAAAUGACAAAACUUCAAAUUAAACAAGUAGGUGCAUACAUUUCGAGGACAUGCAUGAGAGAUCCUUUUUUUAUGAGAUGUUAUUGCAAGUAGAAGCUAUUAUACCUUUUUGGAACUUUUACCAUGUCUCAAACCAUGUACUUAUAUUUAGUUUGUUAGAUUUGUAUUUUUUUUCUUUCAGAAAACGAUAUAUAAAAGAAGAAGACUUAAGGACGCCAUUUUUGACUCACAUGAGCAUGUGGUCCCUAGAGCCAAAACAAUGAAAAUUAUUAGAGAUUCCUAUGUAUAAGCUAUUCUUGGUAAGCUAAAGACAUUUCAUCCUCUAAACUCUUGCUGAAGUCCAAAAUUAACCCAGAACUGCAAAUAACACUAGAACAGAUUAGACUGUCACGCUGGUCAUAGCACCACACUGGAGUAAUCUUCUACAAGUGAUGUUAAAUGACAAAACUGACCGUCACUACUAGAAUCAGCUACUUUGCCAACUUCCUCGGCAAAGAUCCAAAAGAACUCGGCAAAAAUGUGUUUGCCACGUGCGGUACUUUGCAAAAAAAAUACUCCAUAGAACAUAUUGGCAAUAGUUAACUUUGCCGAAUUUUUAUACCAAGAACUCCAGAAUACUCAUAGAGUCUUUCUCGAGUUUCCAAAAAGAAGAACUCUAGAAACCACUAGCGCUAGACGAAAUGACCUAUUAAUGGUGGUGCCACGUGGCCAGAGCAUUGCCGAGUUCUUGCAUGCCGAACUCGGCAGACGCCUGAUGAAUAGAAACGUGGUGCGUGGCAUAGGUGGUUGCCGAGUUCUUGCCUUUGCCAAGCGUGGAACCCAACAAACGUUCAGCAAAUAUGAUGCGUGGCAGAACUAGCUGCCAAGUUCUUAUCUUUGCAGAGUAUGUUGCAGGAGACCUAGGCAAAUUCUUUGAAGAAUAGUAAUGCGACACGUGGCAUAGACGAGUGUCAGGUUCUUGUAUUUGCUGAGUAUGGCGCCACGGGGACUCGUCAACACCUUUGGGGAGCUUUGUGCAGGGUGAACUCGGCAAAGAAAACCCGUGGAAGACGUUCGGGAGCUGCUUCCGCAUUUUCUGAGUGUGGAACUCGGCAAAGAUUCCUGGAGCUACCAGCUUCUGCCACGUGUCACAUUUUGCCGACUAGUGCGCUCAGCAAAAUGCUCCAGGAAUAGUUUUGUCGAGCGACAAAACUUGGCAAAUGUUCAAUCAUGUUUAUUUAUUAUUUAUUGUUGGGAAAUCUUGCAUACAAAUAAGUACGUAUGCAUAUAUAUCAUCGCAAAGAUACAUAACAUCAUUCAAAUAUCACUUCACAAAAACAACAAGCAAUAUGGCGAUCAUUCGAACACAUUUUACACAAGUGACAUCGUCACAAAUUUAUCCAAGUUAGUCUCAUUGAAGCCAUGUUACUCUAAUGAUAGAUUAAGGUCCAGCUGCAGCACGGGCCGGGCCGGUCCUGCGAUUCCGGUGGUCCUGGGUGAAACUAACACUCGGAUCCUCUCAAUAUAAACAUUAUAACAAUAUCUGCAAAUGUUUAGAUUAUUAAAUGUUACCGGUAGACUAGUAGAAAGAGAUCGUGAAUGAACCAGAAAAACAGAAAAAUGAAGGUGCGUCCGUUCUAAAACUUUGGCCAAGAAUAACAGGAUAAUUGACACAUGGCUCGCCACGUACCUUAUUGAGGCAAAAAAAAAGUUCGCGCUUCAUUAAGCUUUCGCGUUUGCUAGUACGUAAAAUGGAAAAAAGAUGUACACAACGUAUAUGAAAAAAUUUAUACAAUUUUAUUUAAUAUCUAUCAAAAUUAUUUAAUAUCAUUAUAUAAUGUCGAGCUAUCGAGCUAAAUCGAGCGAGCGAGUGUUGGCUCAUGAUCAGCUCGUUUAUUGAUCGAGCUACAUAAAGUGCUCAUUCUCAGCUCAUUUCUUUUCAAGUCAAACUCAAGUCGAAACAAAAUACGAGUCGAUCUUGAGUGGCUUACGAGCCUCGAGCUUUACUUGCAGCCCUAGCCACCACUACUCCAAUCCAACCAUAGUUUUUAUUUUCUUUAGAGGGUCGACGAUGGACUGUGUUUGUUUACUGACCCAUCUUUUUUCUUUUCAUUUCCCUAUGUUUUUGGCUAGCUUUCGGGCUUUGUCUGCCUGUACAUAUUGCACAUGUUCUCCCUUAAUCCAUGGCAGAGUUGUUGCCGCUUUUGUAGUAACAUAUAUGGACUUGUAGUAGAUUGUCAUGACCUUUCGUCACAGCUAAUGGCUAAAUCCUCACGUACAUGCAUGUGGUGGUAACAUGAGGACUGUUCAGAUCUUAGCUAGAACACACAUUAACUAUCAUAUCAUGUCAUAAUUUUUUAUAGGCCACUGCCAUGAAUAAUAUAUGAAGUACAGAGGACAAUUCAAACAAUCAAAUUUAAAUUACUAUACCUGCGGCCACCCCUCGGGAAUAUAAUUUAUACUUCUUGUUUCUUUUCUUGACACUAAUUGAUACUUCUUGUUGGACGCGAACCAAGCCAAGUAUGUACACCAACUAUCUGAGUUGACAGAUGUAAGUUAGCUUAAUAUUGACUAAUAGACCUAAGAUGCUAGUCAUGAACGAAUCCAUAUCAUCUGUCUGUAUUUGUAGAUGUCGAGUCAUCUUGCACUUUUUGUAAUUGCCCAUUGGCCAACUAGCUAUUAUUUGCAUCGAUAAAUCGUCUUAUAUGAUAUAUGUUGCCCACUUUGUUACUCCCUCCGUUCCUAAAUAUUUGUCUUUUUAGAGAUUUCAAAUGACUACCACAUACGGAUGUAUAUAGACAUAUUUUAGAGUGUAGAUCCACUCAUUUUGCUCUGUAUGUACUCACUUGUUGAAAUCUCUAGAAAGACAAAUAUUUAGGAACGGAGGGAUUACAUUGCAAGAUUUCUAAGUGCGUCAAAAGGGUGUCCCUAAAGAUGUUUUAUCCAUAGGUUUUACAUUCUUUAUUGAGAGAUGUUGCACAAAAGCUGUACAAUGUUUCAAGUGUACACUAUGUGAAUUUGGUUAUCCUGUUUAUUAGAUGGACAUAUCUCAAUGCUUAAUGGUGACACACAUAUACUCCAAGUUCUUUUGUUCUGGUUAGUCCAUUGUUCGAGGUGAUAAGCAUCUAUAUUACCAUAAGCUAAUCAGUGCUUCAUCAGCUUUGAUAGAUAUGUACUCUAUUUGAACUUUAUUUAGAGAAUUCUAGAUGAAAAUAUUAGCAAGUAAGAUACACAUCAGACUAUACAAUUACAUAAAUUCCAAUACUAAUGCAAGUUGCUGACCGGAAAUCCCUUUUGGUGACCGAGCUCCAAUGAGGCCUCCAAAUUUAAAAUUCAAAUUUCAUCAAAAUCCAUAUUUUUACGUUUCAAAAAAUUCAAAAAAAAAUAGAAAUACAUGAAGGCAUAACACACAUAUGUGUAAAUUUUCAGGGCAAAAUACGUUGAAAUGAGGGUUGUGCAAAAAAUACAAAUCUAGGGCUGUUUAACACAUGAUACUAUUUAUCCUCCCAGGCCAUAAAUUUGUCUUUUUUGUACAGGUCGCAACUCAAGGUAUUUCAUCAUGAAUUUUUUACACACAUGUGGGUUACAUCCUUACAUGCAUGCAUUAUUUUUUUGAAUUUUUUGAAACAUGAAAGUUUGAAUUUGAUUUUUUCAAAAAUAAAGGGCUCCAUGGAGCUCGGCCUCCAAAACGCCAUUUUCAAUGCUGACAUGUUAAGAACCACUUUAACUUGUAUCUCCAAGGACCGGGAUGCAAUUUUCUUUUCUAGCAGUGGUUUUCUUGUAUUGCUAAAUCCAUUAAAUAUGGAGCAUGUGGCUCUGUUGUAGAAAGUUAGUUAAAUGGAUUUUCCAGCCGCAAAAAAAAAUUGAAUGGAUUUUCAACAGCUUGAUUUAAUGUUUGGGGAUCCAUGUCGAAAUUUACUCUCUAUUGGGCCAGACUUUGCAAGUAAAACCAAUAUCAUAAAUGCAGCUAAUUAAAUGGAUCUUAACCUUCUCAUAACUGGUAUAACUACAUGCUCUAAUUUAAUUAAUGUGACGUGAUCUUACCAUAGUAAUAUUAUUAUGCAGUGCACAACUAGCAAGUCCACUAAAGAUUCAUAAUAUUACCACAUCAAGGACUUCAUUAACUGUCAUUUAUAGGUUGUACAUCUGUAGAUCAGAUGAUUUGGAAAUAUUCUCUGGAUGGCACAUCCACAUCAUGUUAUCUAUACCACAGGUUGAGCAUUGAGAUCUAUGUGUCCAAUGGAUAAGAAACUAAGAUACAAGCACUGCAUCUAUAUGGCAUCCAUAGAGAUUAUAACAUGGAUGCACUUGACAUACUGUCCACACCCAUAAUAUAUGAUGGCAUACAGGUCCAUCCAUACAAUAAGAGCAACUUAUUUGGCCUAUGGAUGCCGACAUAAAGAGAAGAUCUGUCGGCAUAUACUAACACACAAAACAAUAUGGCUUCAAUUUGACUAUCUUAGGUCUUUUCGUCAAUUUUAAGCUUACAUGCAUGGGUCAAGUAGAUAGUCAUGACCUUUCACCAAAGCUAAUAACUGAGGUCGCACAUGUAGGCAUGUGGAGUGUUUCAAAUCUUAGCUAGAACGCACAUGAAUUAUCACAUGCAUGCUACAAUAGUUGAAUGACAUCCGACGCAUCCAUAUACUACACCCUGUCAUGAUAUCUUUUAUAUGCCACUGACAUGAGUCACAUAUGAAGUAUAUAGGGAAAUUUAGAUCUAUUUUAAAUUAAAAUACGUGUAGCUAGCCGCCCCUGAGGGAUUUAAUUGCAUAUUAUAAUUACAAUAUAUAUCUGCAACUAGUCCAUGGAAAUAUAAUUGUGUCUUUUGGUUGUACGCAAACCAAGGUAAGUACCAACGUAUCUAAAGGCGUACAUGUGCGUACACCAACUAUCUGACUUGACACAUUUAAAUUAGCUUAAAAAUGACGAAUAUACCUUAUUAAGAUGCUAGUCAAAAUGAAUCCAUAUCCAUUGUUUGCAUUAGUUGAUGUCGAGCAAUCUUGCACUUUCUGUAAUUGUCCGUUGGCCAACUAGCUUUUAUUUUUCGGAUAAUUUUUUCUUUUAUAAUAUAUGUUUCCCUCUUUGUUACAAUUGAAAGUUGCUAAGUGCAUCAAAAGGAUAAAUCACCUAGAUAUAAUCAAAGAGGGGCAUGAAAAUAGAAAUCCCAUUUAUUUAUAGAUUUUACAAUUUUUAUCGGUAUGUUGUACAAAGGUGGUGUAUAUACCUUGUGUUUAAGUGUACACUACACGAAUUUGUCUAUUUAUUAGAUGCACAUAUCUAAAUACUUAAAGUGGCACAUGUAUAUUCCAAAUUAUUAUGUUCUACAUAUAUGGUAUAGUUUACUAUUGCCUGUUAGUUCAUUCUUCGAUGAGAUAAGCAUUUAUAUAACCAUAAAAACCAUAAACUUACCAAUAUUUAGAAAUUAUAGUGAAUUUAGAUAGUUGGCUUGUGAGACAUCCUUAUGCGGAUAAAAAAACCAUACCUAAUCCUGACAUGGAAAAGUAGUCAUGUUAGAUCCUUAGUUGGAUUACAGGUCUAAGUUGCAUAGGGUGUUAAAAAGUCUAAAACAACACUAAUUAAAGGCCCAAGAGAAACCCACUAGAGGUGGGUACUAGCACUCCAAGCAUCCUAUAUAUAGGAUACAUCUACCCUCUUAUUCUCUCACAAAACACAACGAGAUACAACUCCCCCCCUCCCCCAUUCAACUAGCCCAUUCAGUUCUCUCUUUUCCCCUUCUUGCAUACAAUCAUCUCCAUGGCUAGUCCAUUCGGUGUCUUGGUUUGUCUACUCAUAGUGCUACCACAAAUCCUUGCUAUUUCUAGCCCCAUCGACGAGAUUGCACCUCUUAAGACAUGUCAGUUCCCUUGUAUGACCGAGGUUAACUUGCACUUGUUCUUGCACCAAUUCGUCGACGGGCCAAACAACCCAAACCGCAAUGAGGAAACCUUACUCCAAGCAAGUUUUCCUUUUGGGUUUGGGACGAUGAUAGUCCAUGACUGGACUCUUACCGAGACAACAAAUUCCAGAGACACGGUUGUUGCACGU
rnacentral:lncRNA from 1 species